rnacentral:rRNA from 1 species
CCCUUAGAUGUUCUGGGCCGCACGCGCGCUACACUGAUGCAUUCAACGAGUUUCUUCCUGGUCCGAGAGGAAUGGGUAACCUUUUGAAAGUGCAUCGUGAUAGGGAUAGACUAUUGCAAUUAUUGGUCUUCAACGAGGAAUUCCUAGUAGACGUAGUUCAUCAGACUGCAUCGAUUACGUCCCUGCCCUUUGUACACACCGCCCGUCGCUACUACCGAUUGAAUGGCUUAGUGAGGUCUUCGGACUGGACUUCGGGGAGCCGGCAACGGCACCCUGUCGCUGGGAAGUUGAUCAAACUUGGUCAUUUAGAGGAAGUAAAAGUCGUAACA